GACGAGCGCUGGCGGCGUGCCUAAUACAUGCAAGUCGAACGCUUCUUUUUCCACCGGAGCUUGCUCCAUCGGAAAAAGAGGAGUGGCGAACGGGUGAGUAACACGUGGGUAACCUGCCCAUCAGAAGGGGAUAACACUUGGAAACAGGUGCUAAUACCGUAUAACAAUCGAAACCGCAUGGUUUUGAUUUGAAAGGCGCUUUCGGGUGUCGCUGAUGGAUGGACCCGCGGUGCAUUAGCUAGUUGGUGAGGUAACGGCUCACCAAGGCGACGAUGCAUAGCCGACCUGAGAGGGGUGAUCGGGCCACAUUGGGACUGAGACACGGGCCCAAACUCCUACGGGAGGCAGGCAGUAGGGAAUCUUCGGGCAAUGGGACGAAAGUCUGACCGAGCAACGCUGCGUGAGUGAAGAGGUUUUCGGAUCGUAAAACUCU
rnacentral:rRNA from 1 species